GUAGUCCAUGCCGUAAACGUUGGGCACUAGGUGUGGGGCUCAUUCCACGAGUUCCGUGCCGCAGCAAACGCAUUAAGUGCCCCGCCUGGGGAGUACGGCCGCAAGGCUAAAACUCAAAGAAAUUGACGGGGGCCCGCACAAGCGGCGGAGCAUGCGGAUUAAUUCGAUGCAACGCGAAGAACCUUACCAAGGCUUGACAUACACCGGAAAAGUGCAGAGAUGUGCUCCCCGCAAGGUCGGUGUACAGGUGGUGCAUGGUUGUCGUCAGCUCGUGUCGUGAGAUGUUGGGUUAAGUCCCGCAACGAGCGCAACCCUCGUCCCAUGUUGCCAGCGGGUUAUGCCGGGGACUC
rnacentral:rRNA from 1 species